rnacentral:misc_RNA from 1 species
GAAUGAAGAACGUAGCGAAAUGCGAUAAGUAAUGUGAAUUGCAGAAUUCAGUGAAUCAUCGAAUCUUUGAACGCACCUUGCACCCUUUGGCAUUCCGAAGGGUAUGCUCGUUUGAGUGUCAUUGUACUCUCACACUUCUGAUCCUUUGGAUUGGGAGCGGUGGACUUGGGUGUUGCUGCUUUACUGUGGCUCACCUCAAAUGCAUUCGUGCAACUCUUGGUUGGACAUAGUACGGCGUGAUAAGUAUCUUCGCCGGCACCUCGCAAGAGGGUGGCUGAUCAGGAGCUCUGUGCUUUCCAACUGUCUUCAGACAACAACUGACAACUUGACCUCAAAUCGAGUAGGACCACCCGCUGAACUUAAGCAUAUCAAUAAGCGGAGGA